CAGCUUUUAGCACUUUCUUCAGCACUUUGCGAAAAAGAAAAAAACAAAACCAGGGAGCAGCUACCUGCCCUGGAGGAUUCAUGAGCUCAUCCAGUAAAACGGAAGGCAAGGUUGCACGGAAGCUAGAGAGGAGACACAAUAGAAAAGGAAGAAUCCACAGGAGACCAGAGGAAGCUUGAACACCUCCCUCUUAGCCCAUAGGGGUGGCAGCUGGCCUACCUGCACGUCUGGGAGCCCUGACCCAUUUCAGUAUAAAAAAGUUCUUGUUACUUCAUCCUGAGAAGUUCCAACAUCUUUGUUGCUUCCAACAGGACUUUGAAAUACAGGAGAUUAAUUUCUCAUACUGGAGAAAACUCCAGCCACAAGGAUGUCCGUGGCUGUCCUCCUGCAGUGUGCUCAUUAUAAACAACAAAAGCUUAUAGUUCCUGCUGUGGAA
rnacentral:lncRNA from 1 species